GUGUGCGCUCCCCACGCCGCCUCCUCGAUCCCCUCUCUCCCCUGUCUCCCCGAUCCCCUUUCUCUCUCCCUUCUCCGGCGCCGCUUUCCUCGCCGCCGUCCCCUUCCGGUGCGCCGCUCCCCCUCCCCUACAUCCCGACCUCCACCUCCACCGCCCUGCCGCCUCCUCGGCGAAGGAGCACAGACCCUAGCGACCUUCCAAUUCGUCGCCGCCGCCCGACUCGCCGCGUCUCCACGCCGACAUCGAGGUAAGAGCUCCCCCCCUUCUCCGGCGAGACGUGUCUUCUAUGAUUCUCCCCCCAUUGUCGUCGCCGAUUGGCCGGCGAUGGAUUACUGGCUCGUCUUCUUCCGGGGCGCCGGGGACAACAUCUUCGACGCCAUCGCCGUCGCGGCGUCCGACCACCCCGCCGCGCUCAGGUCGAGGCGGGACGCCAUCGCCCAGCGCUUCUACACGGCGUACCGUUGGCGGUGCCUCCCACGGGGGGCACCGCCACCGAGGCACCGCCGCCGCAGCUGCUCCACCCCGAGGGCGCCGCUAGCGUCCCUAGCAUCUGUAGCUCCGACCGCGCCAAUGUCAUCGCCGACGACGGCGGCGUCCCUUGCCAUGAGGACCCCGUCGCCGCCGAGACCGAGCGCAUCAAGGCCGUCCUCCUCAACGACCAAGAAAAGUCGGAGGCGACGUUGCUCGAGCUGCUCCGGCGUCUGCAGCAGCUGGAGCUCACGGUGGACACCUUGACGGUUACUGAGAUUGGGAAAGCGGUGAGCAGCUACCGGAAGCACAACUCCAAGCAGAUUCGUCACCUUGUUCAAUUGCUCAUCGAAGGUUGGAAGCGCAUACUCGAUGAGUGGAUGAGCAGCUGAGACGCCAUUGUAGUGCAUUGGAUGGAAUUGUUACUUUGUGGCAAGUGCAGCCAAAAGGACCAGCCAUCUCCUUGCUUAGCACAACAGAUUGCUUUUCUCCUAAGCAUAGGUGGCCUGAAGAUGUAGCUUGGCAUCCAGAUGGUGAAUUAAUUUUUGCAAUGUACAGUGCUGAUAACGGCGACUCUCAAGUUUCACUGAUGAAUCAUAGCAUAUCAGGACAAAAGAAAGUUAGUUUUCUACCAGUGAAGCCUCAUACCAAGGAAAUUAUUAACAACAUUAAUUUUAUGCCAUGGUCUGAUGUAUGCUUUGUGACUGGUGGAAGUGACCAUGCUGUCAACAAAAAGAUGAUUCAUGGAACCACACAAAAGUGCACAAGGAUUUGCAUUCUUCUGCUGUCAUGGGUGUUGCUGGAUUACAGCAAAAAAAAAUGCAAUAUUAUCAGUUGGCAGUGACAAGAGGAUUAUACCAUUUGAUCUGGCAGCUAGAAGGGCAGGGUCCAAGAUUGUAUUACAGAUCCAUGCGAUUUCAACUUGUUAUGAUUGUAGUCUUAUAAGGUUGUUUUCCUUCUUUGUUCCAUACCUACUCUGCUAAAAAAAGAAGGCUAGCAUGACGGUCACAUUCUAAUAGUCGACGGCUUAGUUUUCUGUAGAGGACGUGGCAAAACGCAUCUGGCCAUCUGGUGUGGCUAACGGCUCGCUAUUCAUAACCUAAAUAAAUGAUUCUCUGAUCUUGCGUUUGCCUA